rnacentral:ncRNA from 2 species
GGGUGCUGCCGCUGUACAUGCGGGAGCAGGUUCUGGGCAUCGGUCGGGCCGCCGGUG